UCAUAAUUAGAGUCACUAAAAGUUAUCAUAAAAUUACAUGAACACGGUCGUAACUCGGAAGCAUUAGUUGAAUAUUAACUUUAUCACACAAUUGCUGUAAAGCGGUGUUUAGUUAGCUGGAUGGCAAUGAUAACGCGUUAGCUAGCUAAGUAGCUGCCUGGAAAAAGGCUGCCUCGACAAGAGAGAAACCAUAAUUCAAGUUCAAGAUGGAGCUACUUCCUGGGGACCAGGAGCGUCACACCGCAACCAUCUCCAUGGUGACACCAAUAAGGGGGAGUGGCAGAGGAACUAUGAUGUCAUCGAUUGGGAGCUCUUGGUGGUGAAGUUUGCAUUAGAGGCGUGGAGACACUGGCUGGAAGGCACUAAGGACCCAUUUCUCAUCCUCACGACCAUCGGAACCUGAAGUACAUACGGACAGCGAGGCGGCUGAACCCGCGUCAAGAAAGGUCGCUGAGGUACUGUUCCAGCAGGUCUUCCGGCACUAUGGCUGGUGCCGUCCCCUGCGACACCCCUCCACCUCCCCUGGAUAUCAAUGGGAGCCCUGCCUAUGUCGUCAGGUCCCUCCUGGACUCCCAACGUUGUGAGGGUUGGCUCCAGAACCUGGUGGACUGGGAGGGGUAUGGUCCAGAGGAGAGUUGAUUCCAACAUCGUCCUGGAUUUCCACCUCCUCCGUCCAGACCGGCCCACUCAUCACCCUCGUGGCCGUCCCCCUGGCCAGUGUCGUCCUUCGGCUAGAACCGUGCGUCAGGCGGGGGAUACUGUCACACCUACUCCUGCUUUUCCACUCCAACACUCGACAUUGCCAGUCUACUAACCACCGGUCCUGGCUACCCACAUUACGCACACCUGCUCCCCAUUGUUACGCACACCUGGACUUCAAUUAUCAUCCUGAUUUCUCUCCCUUUAUUUAGGCCUCAGUAGCCUUCAGGCAGUAUUGGUUAUGAUAUUCUUCAUGUUUUUUAUUAUUAAACUCACCUUCUGCACCUGC